rnacentral:RNase_P_RNA from 1 species
UGAGUAAAACGGAUGAUCGCGGGUACAGUUGCCGAAAGGCAGUACCUGAGGAAAGUCCGAGCUCCAUAGGGCAGGGUGCUGGAUAACGUCCAGUGGAGGCAACUCCAAGGCUAGUGCCAUAGAAAGAUACCGCCGGUUGGGAGCAAUUCCAGCAGGUAAGGGUGGAAAGGUGCGGUAAGAGCGCACCAGCAGUUAGGUGACUAACUGGCUCGGUAAACCCCACCUGGAGCAAGACCGAAUAGGGGAACAAUGGAACUGCCCGUUCCGUUCCCGGGUUAGGUCGCAUGAGGCUGCUGGCAACAGUGGUCCCAGAUAGAUGGUCAUCGCCCCGGAAGGGGUACAGAACUCGGCUUAUGUUUUGCUCAAAUG